rnacentral:rRNA from 1 species
GAUGAACGCUGGCGGCGUGCCUAAUACAUGCAAGUCGAGCGAACAGACGAGGAGCUUGCUCCUCUGACGUUAGCGGCGGACUGGUGAGUAACACGUGGAUAACCUACCUAUAAGACUGGGAUAACUUCGGGAAACCGGAGCUAAUACCGGAUAAUAUUUUGAACCGCAUGGUUCAAAAGUGAAAGACGGUCUUGCUGUCACUUAUAGAUGGAUCCGCGCUGCAUUAGCUAGUUGGUAAGGUAACGGCUUACCAAGGCAACGAUGCAUAGCCGACCUGAGAGGGUGAUCGGCCACACUGGAACUGAGACACGGUCCAGACUCCUACGGGAGGCAGCAGUAGGGAAUCUUCCGCAAUGGGCGAAAGCCUGACGGAGCAACGCCGCGUGAGUGAUGAAGGUCUUCGGAUCGUAAAACUCUGUUAUUAGGGAAGAACAUAUGUGUAAGUAACUGUGCACAUCUUGACGGUACCUAAUCAGAAAGCCACGGCUAACUACGUG